rnacentral:lncRNA from 1 species
GGUGACGGAGGCCGGGUAACUGUCAGCUGCGACAGGGCAGCUUUGUGACUGUCUAAACCAAUGAGGCUGGCCCAGGCCCAAAAACCUAUCUAUGCAUCAAGUUGAAAUAUAGCUGAUAGGGGGAUAUUUCUGACACCCUACCGCUAUGAGAGUGGGAGAAAGAUGAGCAGUGCACAGAGCUCGUGGUGUAUCAAGCUGAGACUACUCAAUCCCUAAAUAUGUGCUACUGUAAUUAUGAUAUUGAAAUUGCUUCCUUCUGGCCGGCGUUGCCCGAUAAAGUUGAUAACGUGUAACGAGCGCCAAAGGCUAGGCGGCACAGCCCAAGGAGGGAUGUAGGAACCUCCUGGCACUGACUUGGUGACAAGCUGCCAGGAGAUACUCUUGGCUUUAGACCCUUU